rnacentral:rRNA from 1 species
UACAUGGGGGUGCAAACGUUGCUCGGAAUUAUUGGGCGUAAAGCGCACGUAGGCGGUUCGUUAGCGAUGUGAAGACCGCUCGGCUCAACUGAGGAAGUGCACCCGAAACUGGCGAGCUUGAGUACGAAAGAGGAUCGCGGAAUUCCCGGUGUAGAGGUGAAAUUCGUAGAGAUCGGGGAGGAACAUCUGUGGCGAAGGCGGCCAUCUGGACCAGCACUGACACUGAGGCACGAAAGCGUGGGGAGCAAACAGG